GUUAUCCUUUACCCCUUUCAAAUUAUACAAAAAAAGAAAGCCCCCUGUGCAAAUGGUCUAUAAUCUCUAGAAGUUGACGUCUGAAGGCCUAUCCGAACUGUCCAUAUGUUGCCAUCUGUCCUGUCACACUUUAGGCCAACAGUAUCCCCUCAUAUGACCGACUCAUAAUCAGAAAUGAUCGGGCACAAUACAUGGGACAAUCAUCUGCAAAGAAAACACACGUUUACAAUAAACAACCUACGGUCACAUUUGCAAUAUGUCCAAAAUAUUAGGCUAUAGGCCUAUUUGUCUUGGUAGAUACAUUUACACAAACAUUUGAAUUGUCUCUCUUGCUGAUAAAAAACAAUCGGUAUUAUCAGUGUAAACCUUUUUUUUCUUCUCAAAACUAGCUAGGCAGUGACAUCUUUGCUUUGUGGCUCAGUAAACAGUGACAGAGUUAGCGUUUAAAUAAAUGCUGUGAUGAAUGCAGUCCUCGGAAGCAGUUUGCUGGAUGGAGUCUUCCAAGAUCUCGUCGCUUUUCAAUGUCCAGCGGCAUCAAACCAAUAUCCAGAGGUUUCUUCCCAGUACACACAGGAGGGCUGAUGCAGUCUGAGCCAAUUCCAGAGAAAGAGAAGAUGGAGAAAGAAACAAGGAAUGAGAAAGAGAGAGAGAGAAAUGCAGACCACUGAGUAUAGAAGAAGCCUGUAGACAAUGUCUUACUUGCCCACUAGGUAAUGACCCGUCAGUGGCACCAGCAAGGUAUGUGGCAAAUGUUAAACAAGACAUUCACAUCCAUCUUACCUAAUCCUCCUACACAAAGAUCUUUGUUUGAACCAUACAGUCAUUAGGGUACUAUUUUUAACUUAACAAACUCACCUGAGAUGCCACUCAAUAGGAUUGCAAAUAGGAUUGAUGGGUCCCCUUUGAUUUGUGUGUUACACCUUUGUUCAUGGAUUAUGGGCUUUCUGCAGUAAAGUUAUGCUCAUUAUUGAGAUUGUUUGUUAUUUAUUUAGUUUAGUUUGUUAGCUGCCUGAAAACACCGGUGUUACUGCUGAAAAGCAGCAUUAGUUAAUGGAGGCUGAACAAGGCCAUUAGGUUAUAAGAUUCAUUUUUAGGACCGUCUCACUUGUAAAUGGUUUGUCUUUGAGUGGCUCCACUUCUUUUUUUCC
rnacentral:lncRNA from 1 species